CCAGUGGCGCGAAGCUACCGU
rnacentral:snRNA from 1 species